rnacentral:rRNA from 1 species
AUUGAACGCUGGCGGCAGGCUUAACACAUGCAAGUCGAACGGUAACAGAAAGCAGCUUGCUGCUUCGCUGACGUGUGGCGGACGGGUGAGCAAUGUCUGGGGAACCGUCUGCUGGAGGGGGAUAACUAUAGGCAACGGUAGCUAAUACCGCAUAACGUAUCAAGACCAAAGAGGGGGACCUUCGGGCUUCUUGCUAUCGGAUGCGCUCAGAUGGGAAGAGCUUGUAGGUGGGGUAAUGGCUCGCCUAGGCGACGAUCCCUAGCUGGUCUGAGAGGAUGACAGCCGACACUAGAACUGGACCACGGUCCAGACUCCUACGGGAGGCAGCAGUGGGGAAUAUUGGGCAGUAGGCGCAAGCAUGAUGCAGCCAUGCCGCGUAUAUGGAGGAAGCCUUCGGGUUGUAAAGUACUUUCAGCGGGGGGGAAGGGAGUAAUGUUAAUACCUAUGCUCAUUGACGUUACCCGCAGAAGAAGCACCGGCUAACUCCGUG